AGAAAACACGUGGGCAGUGGUAAAGCUAAUUAAAGAAGAAUAUUUUGCCGAGGUAGCGGUUAAGCAAAGGAGGGAAACCCGCUUUCAGCUGUUUUGACUCCACUGUAAACUUUCUCAACGACACGCCCCACGGAAUCCCCGACAAACUGGAGCUUUCUUCGUCGCUAUGUCUUGAUAACCGGUCGGAGCAGAGAUUCACAUUGGCCGUUGUGUAUUGUGGAUCAUCAUCUUGUUGGGAGCUGAACCGAGAAUGGCACAUAAGAACAUACCAGUGCUGUGGGCCACCAGGACUCGAAAUGACUGAUUUAAGAGAUGCAGUUUGUGCUGUGACUGGAGUUUGUGUGGUACUGGCAGAACAAUGAAUAGGAAAAUGUGUUUAUUUGCAUUUCAGUUCAAACAACCCAAUUUCACUCCACGCUUUUGGUUGUUCUCAUGCAUUCAUUUGGCUUUAUGCAAAAAAUAAAGCUUUAAACCAUUUUCCUGGUUUGGCAGUACUUCAGA